rnacentral:tRNA from 1 species
GGGGUGAUGGCGCAGCUGGGAGCGCGUUAGACUGAAGAUCUAAAGGUCACCGGUUCAAUCCCGGUUCAUCCCA